rnacentral:tRNA from 1 species
UCCGAAGUAGCUCAGUGGUAGAGCAAUCGGCUGUUAACCGAUUGGUCGUAGGUUCGAGUCCUACCUCCGGAG